UACUUUGCAGUCUGUGUUCUCCU
rnacentral:piRNA from 2 species